rnacentral:rRNA from 1 species
UACGAAGGGGGCUAGCGUUGUUCGGAAUUACUGGGCGUAAAGCGCACGUAGGCGGACUUGCCAGUCAGGGGUGAAAUCCCGAGGCUCAACCUCGGAACUGCCUCCGAUACAGCAAGUCUCGAGUCCGGAAGAGGUGAGUGGAAUUCCUAGUGUAGAGGUGAAAUUCGUAGAUAUUAGGAAGAACACCAGUGGCGAAGGCGGCUCACUGGUCCGGUACUGACGCUCAGGUGCGAAAGCGUGGGGAGCAAACAGG